rnacentral:rRNA from 1 species
GAUGAACGCUGACAGAAUGCUUAACACAUGCAAGUCAACUUGAACUUCGGUUUGGGUGGCGGACGGGUGAGUAACGCGUAAAGAACUUGCGUCACAGCUAGGGACAACAUUUGGAAACGAAUGCUAAUACCUGAUAUUAUGAUUAUAUGGCAUCGUAUAAUUAUGAAAGCUAUAUGCGCUGUGAGAGAGCUUUGCGUCCCAUUAGCUAGUUGGAGAGGUAACAGCUCACCAAGGCGAUGAUGGGUAGCCGGCCUGAGAGGGUGAUCGGCCACAAGGGGACUGAGACACGGCCCUUACUCCUACGGGAGGCAGCAGUGGGGAAUAUUGGACAAUGGACCGAGAGUCUGAUCCAGAAAUUCUGUGUGCACGAUGAAGUUUUUCGGAAUGUAAAGUGCUUUCAGUUGGGAAGAAAAAAAUGACGGUACCAACAGAAGAAGUGACGGCUAAAUACGUG